rnacentral:lncRNA from 1 species
UUUUCUCUUGUGAUUUUGAUGAACAACUGGUUAGAAAAUGUUCUUAGGUUCUUGGACUUCAGUUCCAAAUGAAAAUCACAAGAGGAGGUGUGAUAAUAUAGGCUUAAGAGUGAUGCUUAGUCACAUAUACAAAUGUCACUAAAAGAUGCUGCUCCAAAUUAUUGUGUGCUGCCCAAAAUAUAUACAUACACACCUAUAUGUAUAUAAUUGAUACCAACACUUUCAAUUCAUAUGAAAUUUUAAUUAGAAAUAUUACGUAAAUACCCCCAUACAAUACCUUAAAUUACGAGCACAAUUUAUUUUAAGCAAGGUUGCAAAUAUCACAAAAUUUCAAGUUCCCAAAAUAAGACUAAAACAUAUUGUAGUAAUUAAGAAAUGAUGCAUCGACAUGCAAGAGUUGGUCUAGUAUUUUAGGGGUGUUACAACUCUCUCCACCUUAAAGAAAUUUCGUCUCGAAAUUUACCUUACACUAGUCCCGGAACAAGUGCGGAUAUAGGGUCCUCAUGUCUUCUUCUUUUUCCCAGGUAGCUUCUUUUCCAGAAUGGUUCCUCCAAAGUACCUUUACUAAGGGGAUUUCUCUUGUUCCUAAGUUUGCUUUACUUCUCGAGCUUGAAUUAGAAUAGGUUCUUCAUUAUAUCUCAAGUCUGGAUUAACCUCAGUAGAUUCAACUGGAAGAACAUGAGAUGGAUCAGAACGAUAUCUUCUGAGCAUAGAAACAUGGAAGACAUUGUGAAUCUUGUCUAACUCAGGUGGCAACGCCAAUUUAUAUGCAACUGGUCCAACCCUUUCAAGUACCUCAUAAGGUCCAAUAAAUCGGGGACUAAGUUUUCCUUUCUCGCCAAAUCUCAUAAUCUUUUUCCAUGGAGACACUUUUAAGAAUACUUUAUCUCCAACUUGAUAUUCAAUAUCACACCUUUUAAGAUCAGCGUCCGACUUUUGUCUAUCCGAAGAAAUCUUUAGACGAUCUUUGAUAAUUUUUGCCUUGUCCUCUGUUUGUUGCACAAUUUCAGGACUAAUAAGCUUUCUUUCACCAAUUUCACUCCAACAAAGAGGGGUUCGGCAUUUUCUUCCCUAUAAGGCUUCAUAGGGAGGCAUUUCAAUACUCGAUUGGUAGCUAUUAUUGUAAGAAAAUUCUAUCAAAGCCAAGUGUUUGUACCAACUACCUUCAAACUCCAUAAUGCAAGAUCGAAGCAUAUCCUCCAAAAUUUGUAUCACUCUUUUUGAUUGGCCGUUAGUUUGAGGAUGGAACGAAGUGCUAAACCUCAACUUAGUCCCCAAAACUUCCUGCAAGCUACCCCAAAAUCUAGAUGUAAACCUUGGGUCCCGGUCUGAUACAAUAGACACAGGGAUCCCAUGUAGUCUUACAAUCUCAUUAAUGUACAACUCGGCUAAACACUCAAGUGAGUAAUCCAUCCGUAGUCUUACAAUCUCAUUAAUGUACAAUUCGGCUAAACUCUCAAAGUGAGUAAUCCGUCCUGAUUGCUAAGAAGUAAGCACUCUUGGUUAGCCUGUCCACAAUCACCCAUAUUGCAUAAUGAUUUCUUUGGGUGCGAGGAAGUCCAGAAACAAAGUCCAUAGUUAUUCUCUCCCAUUUCCAUUCCGGUAUCGACAAGGGUUGUAGUAAACCCACUGGGACUUGAUGUUCUGCCUUUACUUGUUGACAAACCAAAUAUUUAGAGACGAACUCCGCAAUGUCUCUGUUUAUACCAUUCCACCAAUAAUUUCUUUGAUGGUCUGGUACAUCUUUGUACCUCCAGGAUGCACUGCAUGUGGUGAAGUAUGUGCUUCAUUCAAUAUUUCUGUUUUCAAUUUGUCAUCAUUAGGGACACACCACAAGGGACGCAUAACCUGUUUUGAUAAAAUAAGCCACAAUCCUCCGUUACUGUAAAAUCAAGCUUUUCCUCAUUUUGAACUUCUUUGGUCAGUUUUACAAGUUUCUCAUCUAACUUUUGUGCUUCUUUCACCUGUUCAAGUAAUAUUGGCUUUACUUGUAAAUUAGCAACAACUGGCUCUGGUUAAUUUUACAAGUUUCUCAUCUAACAUUUGUUCUUCCUUCACCUGUUCAAGUAAUAUUGGCUUUACUUGUAAACUAGCAAUAGCUAAACCAUUUGAAUCAAGUGUAAAACAAUCAUUCAUGGCUCUUAACUCAAGGAACAGGGGUAAAGGACUCAAAGAAAUGCUUGCGAAGUAUUUCCGACUUAAGGCAUCUGCAACCACAUUGGCUUUACCUGGAUUAUAAUCAAUUGUGCAGUCAUAAUCCUUAAUGAGUUCAAGACAUCUACGUUAUUGAAGGUUUAGCUCCUUUUGAGUACCCAAGUACUUUAAGAUCUUGUGAUCAAUGAAGAUAUGACAUUUCUCUCCAUAUAAAUAAUGCCGCCAUAUUUUUAAAGCAAACACUAUAGCAGCAAGUUCAAGAUCAUGAGUAGGAUAAUUCAAUUCAUGCGGUUUUAAUUUCCGAGAGGCAUAAGAAAUUACCUUCCCUUCUUGCAUCAAAACACAUCCGAGACCAUUGUGAGAAGCACCACUAUAUACUACAUACUAUUUCCCUUCAAUUGGUAGAGUAAGUAUAGGCGCUUGAGUCAACAAGGAUUUGAGAGUUUCAAAGCUCUCUUGACAUUUGUCAUCCCAAAUAAACUUUACUUCCUUUUGCAAGAGCUUAGUCAAAAGAGAGGCGAUAAUGGAAAAGCCUUUCACAAAUCUUCAAUAGUAUCUUGCUAAGCCCAAGAAACUUCUUACCUCAGUCGGACUUUUGGGAGGUCUCCAUUCAACAACUGCAUGUAUUUUACUAGGAUCCACCUUCACACCUUCAGCUGAUACAACAUGUCCCAGAAAAGCUACUUCAUGAAGCAAAAAUUCACACUUGGAAAAUUUAGCUUAAAGUUCUUUCUCCUUCAAAAUUUUCAAAAUAAUCUGGAGUUGUUUAUCAUGGUCUUCACUACUUCUCGAAAGUAUUAAAAUAUCAUUUAUAAAAACAACCACAAACUGAUCAAGAUAAGGCUUGAAUACUCGAUUCAUUAAAUCCUUGAAUACCGCAGGAGCAUUUGUUAAUCCAAAUGGCAUCACCAAAAAUUCAUAAUGACCAUAUCGAGUUCUUAAAGCAGUUUUAGGAAUAUCUUUCUCUCUAACACACAGUUGGUGAUAUCUAGACCUUAAAUCAGUUUUUGAGAAUACUUUAGUACCUUUAAGUUGGUUAAACAAAUCAUCAAUUUUUGGUAGGGCAUAUCUAUUCUUGAUUGUUAUUCUGUUCAAUUGUCUAUAGUCAAUACAAAGCCUAAGAGUGCCAUCUUUUUUCUUUACGAAUAAAACAGGGGCUCCCCAAGAAGAAACACUAGAUGGAAUAAAACCUUUCUCAAGUAGUUCUUGCAAUUGAGCUUUCAAUUAUCUUAACUCUGCUGGAGCCAUUCUAUAAGGGGUGAUCGAAAUAGGAGUAGAUCUAGGAAUAAGUUCGAUUGGAAAUUCAACCUCUCUUUUUGGGGGCAAUCCCAGAAGAUUUUCUAGUAAUACUUAUGGAAAAUCACAUACCGUCGGUAGGUCCUUGAUACAUGGACUCUUCAACGGUGUAUCAACUAUGUGAGCAAGGUAUGCCCCACAACCUUGACGUAUCAACUUUCUUGCAAAGACUGUAGAAAUAAAACUAGAUGUUCCUGAUCUUUCACCUUGUACAAUGAUGUGUGAAAAUGUAGGAUCUUUAAGAGUCACAAGAUUAGACCUCUAAUCUACCAAAUCAUGAUAUUUAUAAUGCCAAUCCAUCCCGAUAAUAACAUCAAAAUCCUUCAAGGGCACUUCAAUCAAAUCAGCAGGGAAGACUAGGUUUUGAAUCAGGAAGGGACAAUCAUAGUAAACUUGAUUACACACAACUUGAUAACCCAAAGGACUUUCAACCAGCACAUCGUAAUUAAGUCUCACAGAUUUCACAUUUUCAGGAAGAACAAGUGAUGAACAAAUAUAGGAAUGUGUAGAACCAGGAUCAAAUAAUGUUAACACACAUAAGCCAAAUAAGUGAUAUUUACCGACAACCGCGUCUUGUCUAUCUUGAUCAUCCCUCUGCCUCAUAACAUAAGCGCGUGCAGUCGCCCUUUGCCCACUAGCCUGAUUAUCUCCACUUGUACCUGCUGCCUCAGUGUUUUUAGGUCCUGCACCUCUAUUAGUUUGAGGAGGAUUGACAGAAGGCUUAUGAAAUGAGCCUUCAGUUCUCAACAAUGGAGCAUUAUUAGGAUUAGGAUAAUCCUUCACUUUAUGAUCAAAGCUCCCACAAUUGAAACAUGCACCAGAAGCUCUCCUGCAAAUACCAUAAUGAUUCUUUCCACAUUGUGGACAAGUGGGAACGCGAGGCCUGCCUUGGCCAUAAUUUGGAGUGCUAGCUGUAGAAAGUUCUGAUCUGUUUUGCCUUUGUUGAGGUGGCCUGUUAUCACUACCAACCUUAGAAAUAUCAAGCCUUCCCCUUUUGGAUGGACCCCCAAAAUCUGGUCUAGGCUUUCAGAAUCUGUUUUCAUUUCAACUAGCUUUCUCUUUAUCAAGUCGUUCCCAAGUAAAAGCAGCAGACACUAACUUACAAAAUUUCUCAUCUUGCAGGAUCACCACAUUCUUCCUAAUGGAAUCAUUUAAACCAUCUUCAAACUUCCUGCACUUGUCUUUUUCCUCUUUAAUAAUACCAUUAGCAUACCGAGAGAGCCUUAGAAACUUCUGUUUGUAUUCAGCAUUAGACAUGCCUCAUUGCCUUAGAUUCAAAAACUCCUUUUUCUUUGCAUCACAAUAAACAGGUGGGGCAUACUUCAUACGAAAUUCCUUAAGAAAAUCAUCCCAAGUAAGAACAUGAGGUUUUACCUUGGCAUUUGGAACAAUUACCCACCAAUCGUAAGCAUCCUUUUGUAAUAGUGAAAUAACAUACUUAAAUUUUGCAACAUUUGAACACUCUAACUGCUCAAAUAUCCUCUCCAUGCGAUCAAGCCAUUGUUCAGCAUCAGUGGGAUUAACAGUUCCUUCAAACUCCACUCCACCCAUUUUCCUCAUUUUCUCAAAGUUAAACCCUUGGGGAUCAUGCAUCGAUUCAGCCAUAUGGUGGAAAAAUUCAACCUUUUGUUGAAAAUGAGGAUUCAUGGUUUGAGUACCAUUGCUCAUGCGAGGAUGUGGAUCAACUCUUACACCCAGAUGGUAUCCCACUUCAGAACCACUUGUGUGGGGAACAUACUGAUUCGAGAUAUGUUCUCCAACCCCUUCCAGUGCAUGAGGUUAGGAAACAGAAGCACCCGAACCUUCACGAGCAGCUUCCAUAGGUCGGUUAGAAGAAGUGGCCAUGACUUAAUUCCUUCAAAAGGAAAGAUCACAUUGCAUUAGGGAUAUGUACUUGAUGCAUAUGCACUCUACAUGAGAUAAAAACAUUUUAAACCAUGUAAUUGACCAAAUAAUACAAAUAGAACCUUUUUCGAAAGUGAACAAGUAUACAGGUAAUUCAAAUCAAAAUUCCUAGAACCACAAACUUAGCCUUUGAUACCAAUACUUGAAGUGACCCUUUUUAAAGAAAUUUAACUUAUACUUGCGACACUCAAAAGCGAUUAACGAGGGCACACUGAUUAUAAUCUAGUAGAGGGAUUAGUUACAUAAUGACCUCCAAAAAGUAAUUUAAGUAAAUAACUGACGAGCUUUUCAUGUAUAUCUAUUAUCCUCACAGUCAAGGAUGAAAUAACAAGAAUAUUACAAGCUUCCGAGUACCGAAAUCAGCCUGCUCAUACUUCACAGAAACAUUCUAAUGUAAAAGUAGAUUAAGAAUAUUACAAAACUUGGGUUUACACACCCCAAAAAGAACAAAACAUAUAGCCAUAUUUAUAUUACAAUUCAUGGUGAAAUGAUCAAAUUAGCCCACAAAAUCACAUGUAAAUAUAAAACACAUAGAAUACGUACAAGUCCCAAGGCUUAUACUAAAUAUAGAUGACUAUAUGCAAAUGUGAUCUUCCUUACGGAUCUCCAAACAUCCAUCUCCAAUGGCCAGCUUCAAGCAUCAUCUCGAACAACCCCUAUGAUAGAAACAACUAUCGCUAAGCAUAUAUCUUAGUGGUGUAAAAACUAUAGGUUUGGAGCCCUCAAAUUCAGCAAGUUAUCAUUCUCAAGUCAAGCGCAGCAUAAUUGAACAUAAUAAAUAAAUCAAGUAAACAAUAUAUCAAGAGUAUCAAGUUUUAUAUUUAAAGAUCCAAAUGUCAAGAACGCUCAUAGCACAGUUUUCCAAGAGAUUCAACUACAAGGCUCGCCCAAUAUAUGCAUCAUGUCGUCACACCAAGCACAAGCAAGUAUCAAGAAGGGUCAAAACCCAAUAAUCCAGAAAACCAAGACCCAUAUUAAAAAUGGCUUUCUAGUUCGUACUUAAAAUGGACAACUUCCAUUCUUAAGACGGACUAAAUAUCCAGAGUCAAGAUGGUAAAUGAUCCAAAUCAAAAGGCAUGCCAAGAGUGACAAAGUCACAGCCACAGGAAGGACAAGGUCCCAACAAGAGUGCCAAGUGAUCUAACAGUCCGUACAAGUGGGCGAGUUACACGAGCGUCUUUAAUGUAUUAAAGAAUACCAAAAUGACAAUGCAAAGUGAUAAGAGGUAACCAAGGUACCAAUGUAAACUUCCAGAUAUACCAGCAGGUAAAACGAGUACAAGUAUAAGUUUCUACACAAACCUCAAUUCUUUAGCCCAAAAAUAGACCAACACAACUUCACAAGUUCAAAUCGUAAACCAACCAGCCUAUCAAAGUCUUCAACUCGUACACGAGGAUAUACAACCUUAAAAAUGAAUUCAAUAACUUAUUUACUUUCUAGUAGCUCAAUAAUGAUGGAGCAACACAAGGUUAUCAUCACAAGUAAGCCCAGCCUGUACAAAUACGACUAUACUCUAAAAACAGAAAUUUUGCCCAAUAAAACCACUUCAUAUCGCAACUUAGAUUUGAAACAGAAAAAGGCCAAAAUGGAAUUUAUAUCCUUCAUAAAAGAUGUAGGUACAUCUCUUAAGCUUGCAAAUCAUUAAGAAUCAUCGCAAAAUACGCUUUUUACAAAAAGAUAUAAUCAAAACACUAACAGUUGAGCACACAGGAUUUCAAAUUCCAAAAUCUGGACAGAACAUGUCAUAUGUUGCGUCCCUUAUUUCGUAGUCAUAAAAGCUAAAUUAGAGUUUAUCAUAAACAGAAGAGUUGUAGGUAUAGGAAUCAGCUUUCCAAAUCAUAUUUAUUCACUGCAAUAGAGGUUAUACUGACCGAGAAAUUCUAAAAGUCCUAAAUACUACUCAGCUGAAAAAAAUAAGUUUUGAUUACUCACCGAAAGGUAGGAUGUCUCGACUUCCAGCUAGAAGGGCCAAGGUUUUCUCUUGUGAUUUUGAUGAACAACUUAUUAGAAAAUGUUCUUAGGUUCUUCGACUUCAGUUCCAAACAAAUAUCACAAGAGGAGGUGUGAUAAUAUAGUCUUAAGAGUGAUGCUUAGUCACAUAUACAAAUGUCACUAAAAGGUGCUGCCCCAAAUUAUUGUGUGCUGCCCAAAAUGUAUACAUACACACCUAUAUGUAUAUAAUUGAUACCAACACUUGCAAUUCAUAUGAAUUUUUAAUUAGAAAAACUAGGUAAAUACCCC